rnacentral:sRNA from 1 species
AUAAAUUUUGCGUACUAAAAAAGACGGAUGAGAUAAAAUUUUCAUUGAAGAAAGCAUUUCGUGGACAUCACUCGGUGUGUUCGAUAAGGUUUCUCAAGCUCUCUACAACGCCGGCCUCGGCCAACUGUCUCUAGUUCAAGUGCCAAGCUGCUAGCAUACGGGCUAUACUUUCAGGGAAGGAUUGUUGCAGCUGAAACUGAAUCACCACGUUCAGGGAUGGAUGUUGUUUUGAUUAGGGAUUCCCCUCAUUGGGUUUUCAUUUCAGUUCGGAUUUACAGUAAAUGCAAAUCCGGUUCCUAAAGCUCAAAGAGAAGGUCUGCAAAGGUUCAUAUGUAAUCCCUCCUAUCUGUAAUGGAAGUUUGUAAGGUUUAUGCUUCGGUUUAUAUCGAUGGAAAUAAAGUUGUUGCGAUGAAGACCUCCCUCACUCUCUGAAGCCCAGAACGGAGUGAAACGGUAUUGGAUUGAUUUUAGCGAGUGGGUUUUUUUGUUAACGUGGAUCAGAUUCGAACCUUUGUGUCGAUCGAAGUCAUUGCUGGUGGGUUAGCUGAGGACCUUGAGGGAGGGUGAUCCAAUUUUCAGAGAAGAACUAAGUUUUUCUCAGAGAGGACGAAUUCUGCAGCUUUUUUAUUUCAAAGACGAUUCCAGCCCCAUUGGAAUACAAAAAGUUUUCAACAGGAGUUCAACAUAUCAAGUAUGGAGAGAAAUGAUAGGAGCAAUAUAGCAUAGGUUGUCAUCUUCUUAAAUAAAUUGUUCUCAGUGUUAGGAUGUCUUUUUCCUCCGUUUGGGGUUUUAUCCUACUUGGUACGAACAAUGCUUCAUUUCUAUAAACUAUUCUCCCUCAACUUCUGUAAACUUUGAAUUGCUCUCUGCAUUAUGUGACAUGAUAGUAUUUAACACAAUAUGUUGAAAUGAAGGAAAGCUUAUUUAUUGAU